AACGAACGCUGGCGGCAGGCCUAACACAUGCAAGUCGAGCGGGGGAGCAAUCCCUAGCGGCGGACGGGUGAGUAACGCGUGGGAACGUACCCUUUGCUUCGGAAUAGCCCCGGGAAACUGGGGAGUAAUACCGGAUGUGCCCUACGGGGGAAAGAAUUUCGGCAAAGGAUCGGCCCGCGUUGGAUUAGGUAGUUGGUGGGGGUAAUGGCCUACCAAGCCGACGAUCCAUAGCUGGUUUGAGAGGAUGAUCAGCCACACUGGGACUGAGACACGGCCCAGACUCCUACGGGAGGCAGCAGUGGGGAAUCUUAGACAAUGGGCGCAAGCCUGAUCUAGCCAUGCCGCGUGAGCGAUGAAGG
rnacentral:rRNA from 1 species